rnacentral:ncRNA from 1 species
UCGGAGUGCCUAGUGGCGAAAGCUACGGGCUGAGACCGUUAAUUCGGGAUCCGCGGAACCUGAUCGGGUUAAUACCUGCGAAGGGAACAAGAGUAAUCA